rnacentral:rRNA from 1 species
AUACGGAGGGGGCUAGCGUUGUUCGGAAUUACUGGGCGUAAAGCGUACGUAGGCGGACUGAUCAGUUGGGGGUGAAAUCCCAGGGCUUAACCCUGGAACUGCCUUCAAUACUGUCAGUCUUGAGUUUGGGAGAGGUGAGUGGAAUUCCUAGUGUAGAGGUGAAAUUCAUAGAUAUUAGGAAGAACACCAGUGGCGAAGGCGGCUCACUGGCCCGAUACUGACGCUGAGGCGCGAAAGCGUGGGGAGCAAACAGGAUUAGAAACCCUAGUAGUCC